AAACUUGCAAAGAGAGAAAAUAAUGUCCAAGGAAGAUGAUGAUGAGGCCAGAUUUUAUCGCUCCUUUAGGAAGUAUGAAAAGAUGGUAAAGCAGGUACAGCAAUCAACAUCAUUGCUAGCUAGCUAGUCAUGGGUUUGAUUAUUAUUACAUAUCUACAAAAACACAAUUGCCUUUCUUUGUUUCAACAAAAUGUUUCUAAGGUAGAUAAAACAAAAUUAAUCCGCUAUUCGAAGCUGAUCAAAUAAUUAAUUUAAUGUUUACAGAUGAGGCGGUUUGACGAGAUUGCUGUAAUAAUGGACGCUGUCAGGUCUAGUUCGACCAAAAAGAAAAGGGUAUUUAUUUUUAUUUAAUUUUCCUUAUCAAUAUUCCCAUAAUAAAUUAAUAUUAGAUUAUGCUUAUUAUUGAGUAAAUAAAAUUUAAUUUGUUUGUAGAACUCUGAAGGGCAGGGCAGUUGUAGCAGUACUGGCGUGGCUGAUAAUCAAGAAAACUCGAACCGGCUUCUCGUGGAAACCAUAACCAAAUUUCUCAAUGAGUUGAAUGAAGAAGACAACGGUUAUGACAUUAAUGAUCCCAAGCCAUCCAAUAAUCCAUGAUUCGACGAAGCUCACAAGAGAAUAUGCAACUAUGGCUUUAGCAUUCAUAUUAGUACUUAUAAUUAUAUGAAGUAACCGCAAUUAGUACUGUUCUAGUUUUAGUGUGACAUCUUAAAAUAUUUUAAUGAUGUCUAAGUACCUUAAGAUUAUAUUUUAAGGAUCCUUGGAUCCAUAUCUUGUACCGAGAAAGUUUAAUCUUGAAUCAAAUAUUGG
rnacentral:lncRNA from 1 species